rnacentral:rRNA from 1 species
GUGGGUAGUUUGACUGGGGCGGUCUCCUCCUAAAGAGUAACGGAGGAGCACGAAGGUUGGCUAAGCAUGGUCGGACAUCAUGCGGUUAGUGCAAAGGCAUAAGCCAGCUUGACUGCGAGAGUGACGGCUCGAGCAGGUACGAAAGUAGGUCUUAGUGAUCCGGUGGUUCUGAAUGGAAGGGCCAUCGCUCAACGGAUAAAAGGUACUCCGGGGAUAACAGGCUGAUACCGCCCAAGAGUUCAUAUCGACGGCGGUGUUUGGCACCUCGAUGUCGGCUCAUCACAUCCUGGGGCUGAAGUAGGUCCCAAGGGUAUGGCUGUUCGCCAUUUAAAGUGGUACGCGAGCUGGGUUUAGAACGUCGUGAGACAGUUCGGUCCCUAUCUGCCGUGGGCGUUGGAAGAUUGAGAGGGGUUGCUCCUAGUACGAGAGGACCGGAGUGAACGCACCACUGGUGUUCGGGUUGUCAUGCCAAUGGCAUUGCCCGGUAGCUAAGUGCGGAAGAGAUAACCGCUGAAAGCAUCUAAGCGGGAAACUUGCCUCGA